AGACACCGGUAUAUUCGAUAAAAAGGUACUUUAGUUUUGUGAGCUUGGCGAUAGUGGGCUGAAUUGGGCCUGUGAGCCUGGAAAGUUUAUGGAAUUCGAGGUUUUCGAGAUAUGGGAGGUCACCGAUGGACGGGGNNNNNNNNNNNNNNNNNNNNNNNNNNNNNNNNNNNNNNNNNNNNNNNNNNNNNNNNNNNNNNNACGGGGGUAUGUGGCCCGAGAGAUUUGUGUCUGGCACAGAAGAUUUCAUAAUUAAGGCCGUGAUACGAUGCGUUUUGAUGUCGCACUUGACGCAAUACCAAUCACAACAGUCCGUUUGUGGAUUCCAUGAGGCUAGAAAGUAAGGGUUGUUGAGUUCCUUCUUGAAUCUGAGGAGUACCUUCUUGUCUUGAGGGUUACAUUUCUCAGAUGCAACUGGGGACAGUAGUAGUAGUGAGAGGAGACAUAAUGCUAGAACCAUUGCAGUUCCACCAAACUCGGUUCUCAUUUUUUGUUGUAAUUUGAACUUUAAUGGUAGGGCAGUGGGGUGGGAGAGAAUUGAUGGAACAUUGGUACUUAUAGGAAUAAUAAUGAGAAACACAUGACUUGUUAGUGUCCUGCAAUAAAAUAAACGGUAAUGCUAAACAGUGCCCUUGGGACACUAAUUAAACAUAUUAAAAAAAAAAAUAAAUGAUAAAGUAAAUAAUGGGAGAGAAUAACUUUUCACUUCAUUAAAACAUUGAAUGCACAAUUUACGAGAUAAAACUUCUAUAUUUGUAUCCGGAGGCACUGUUUAGCAUUUUUCCUAAAAUAAAAUAAUGAAUUACUGUAUAUAUUUAUGUCAAUAUCAAUUUUCUGUGCAUGCUUCAUCGUAACAUUGUGAAAGUUGUAAAUAGUACUUCUAUAACAAGUAAAUAAAGUCUAAAAAUAUAUUAUAUUUUAAAGAAUUGGAAAAAAUAAUUAAAAGAAAUUAAUUAGUCACUUGAACUCAAUAUAUUGAUAUAUUGUUUAUGUAAAAUUUUACAAUGUUACAACUAUCAUAAAUAUAAUUUUGGUAGAACUCGUUAUAAGUUUUAUAUGUGGUCAAGAUUAUAUAUGUUACUCAAAUACUAUAUCCGGUCAUAAAUAUAAGAGGAAAUUUACUUUUUAGAUUCAUUGAGAAUUUAAUGUAUCUGGUUCAUAAUAUGAACUAGAUGCAUUAGAUUCUCAAUGAAUCUAAAAAUCAAAAUUUCUCUUAUAUUUAGGACCCGAGAGAGUAUAAGUAUAUUGAUUAAUUAAUAUAUUUGAAAUAUAUUGUCAUAUAUUUUGUCCUUGAUUAUAUGUUACUCCCUAUGUGAUCAAAUACAUUAAUUAUCAUUGAUCGUUAGUUGAUUCAGUGAUGAUUGAUGCUGAACUUGGUGUAGGGAGUUCCACUGUUCGAUACCAGAUUAAACUUAUGGUAAAAGAAAAAAAACAAAACAUUAAUUAUUAAGUAAAUUUAAAAGGAUGAAUUUUACGUAUAUUUUGUUAGGGAGGAAGAUAUUUGGAUUCUCUUUGAUUUUCCUAAAAUAUAUUUAACUUAGAAAGCGAAAAUAUUGUAUAUCUAAUUGUAUUUAUGCGUGUUGUAAAAUAAAAAUACCUUAAAGUUUUGCUUAAAUAUAAAAAAUGUGAAAAAUUAAAACUUUAGAGAAUUAUGAUAAUUUUUGGAAAAUGCUAAACCGAGCACUAGUAAGGCAUAUUAAUAAGAAAAUUUUAGGCAAAAUUACAUUGUAUGUCCUUUAUUUUAUUUUUUUUGUAACACUUUGGUCCUUUAUGUUUUUUUUGUAACACUUUGGUCCUUUAUCAUUUCUUUUGUAACAUUUUGGUCCUUUAUCUUUUUUUAUAACACUUUGGUCCUUUAUUUUUUUUUAUUUGUAACAUAUAGGUCAUUUAUUUUUUAUAAAUAAAUAAGAUAAAGAACUAAAAUGUUAUAAAAAAAAAGACUAAAGUGUUACAAAUAAAAAAAGAUAAAAACUAAAGUGUUACAAAAAAAAAAUAAAGGAUCAAAGUGUUACAAAAAAAAGAUAAAGGAUUAAAUUGUUACAGAGAAAAGUUAAAAGAUCAAAGUNNNNNNNNNNNNNNNNNNNNNNNNNNNNNNNNNNNNNNAAGUGUUAAAAAAAAAAAAAAAGUGCAAAAAAAUUAUUUUUCUAUCCUUAAUUUUAUCUUUAAUUUUCAUUUUUAAUAUGAUUAAUAAAUAAAUGUCCUGAAUAUACUAUUUAGCCUGACCCAUAAUUUAUUUAUUAUAAAUAUAGUCAAAACAUAAACUACUUUAUAUAGUACGCAUUUAUUUUCUUAUACACAUCUUUUGAUAUGAGGAAGUACGUACUACUGUGCUAUACGACAAGUUAAAAGUGGUUUUGGCCCAACCAAAAUCUGUACUUGUACUUUACUCAUUUGUCUACACUAUGAUUAUGGGCUUUAUCCUUUCAUAAGAGAUCACGACUCACGAGGUGGGUUGUUCCAAUUCAAUUAUUGCGUGUAGCAGUGCCAUUUUCCUAUCACUGAGCUGUAUGGCAGUGAAGUAAGUAUACGUACCCUUCUACCAAAAUAAUUGUUUCAUUGAAAAUUGAAAAUGUCAAUUGUUUUGAGACUAAUGUUACGGUUCACAAUUUUUUUAAUAAAAAUAUGUUAUUUUAGAAAGGAGAGAGUGCAUUAUUAAACACAAAUGGUUUCCAAUGGUUUGUGUUGGGAUAGUGGGAGAUAUUUUUAGAUGGUCAUUUGAUUAAAGAUAUUAUAUUUGGUCACACUCAUAAAAUAAAAUAAGUNNNNNNNNNNNNGAGGGAGUGUUGAUGAAUAGUUGAGAAGUUUCAUUAAAUUUAUUGGUCAAGAAAAUGCUUAUGUGGUGGAGCUUUAGGGGUGCUAGUGCUAGAGGGCCUCAUUAGGGAGCUUAAUUUUUGAGUGGAAUUAGUAGUAGCAUUUAAGCUAGAUCUCUUGUUGAGAAAAUUCGUCAGUUUCUAGACUUGGAAUGGGACAAUCGUAGUUCAUUACUCUUAGAUUAUAUAAGAAACUAGUACAAUUGUAGCUCAACUUAGCAAUUUUUUUCUUCUUAAAAAAGGUUACAAAGAUGACAUUUAAGUCAUUCCAACUUAAUACCCCAAAUAAGUCACUAAGAAUGAUACAAGAAAAUAUAAAAAUUUAUCUGUCUCUUUAAAAACCUUAUCAAAGAUUCAAAAAGAGUACAUAGAUAAACUAAAGUACUAAACAUAAAUUCUUAUUCUUAGUUAUAAUCUCAUUGAGACAUGAGAUUCUUAGUAUUAUUAGCAAGUUUUCAUAAUCACUUGCAUUUUGAAAGUGGUGCUCCACACAAACACUUGUUAUGAAGAUAAGCAUACUUAUCAAAAUUAUCCUGCAAUCUUUUCGUCCCACCUUGAGGUAUCUGACCACACAACUUAUUAUAACUCACAUUAAACUGUUGCAAUUCCACUUUCGCCAAUUCAACCGGAAGCUUACCAUAAAUGUUAUUAUGAUUAAUAUCCAACCAUAUCAAACUCUUAAUCGGAAAUUGAACUUUCGAAAAAUCAAACGACAAUAAAUUCCUCGAAAUGUCAAUCUUUUGUGUCUUUUUCUUGCUCCCGAAAAGCACGGAAGCAUCGCCUACGAGCUUGUUCCUCGACAAGUCUAUCCUCUCUGGGUCAAUUUGGCCCAAUGAGGUUGGAAUAGUUCCAGAAAGCUGGUUGCGGGAUAGAAUAAUAUCUGGCCCGGGCUUUUUAAAUGAACCAAAUGAUUCUGGAAUUGUGCCCGUGAGCUUGUUUCCGUCCAAGCGUAAGGAAGUGAGUUUAGGCAAUUGAGAAAGUGAGCUUGGUAUUGGGCCUGAGAGGUAGUUGCCAGUAAGGUGAAGAAGUAUGAGGUUUUUAAGUUGGGCCAAAAAAGGCGGUACUGGGCCUGAGACAUUGGUAUAUUCGAUAAAAAGAUAUUUUAAAUUUUUGAGCUUAGCGAUUGUGGGCGGAAUUGGGCCUGUGAGAUAAGGUAGUCUAUGGAAUGAGAGACUUUGGAGGUAAGGUAGGUCACCUACCGAAGGAGGGAUAUGGCCCGUAAGAUUGGUGAAUACAGGGCUAUCUCUAAUAGAGAGGGAGAUUAUACGGUCUGUUAUUUCAUCACAUUGGAUGAGGUACCAGCCACAACAAGGUGUUUUUGGAUCCCAUGAGGCUAGAAGGUAAGGGUUGUUAAGAUCUUUUUUGAUUUGGAGUAACACUUUCUUAUCUUGUGAGUUGCAAUCUUUUAUUGGUGUAAUUGGUGUAAUUGGCAUGACAGAGAGAGAUUGAGAGGAUUGUGGAGGAGACGAUCCAAAUCCAAGUGGAGAGAGUGACAAAAGGGAGAGGAGGGUGAGAGUGAGAGCUAUUGUAGCUCUACAAAACAUGGUUUCUAUUUUUGGUUGGAAUAUUAUAAUGUUGAAUGAUACUAUUAAGUGGGAGAAUUGGUGUUUUUAUAGAAUUUAAUUAGAAAAACAUGCUAAACGUGACUUAUUAGUAUGGUGUGGAAGAAAACAGUGUAUGGAUAAGGGAAAGAUUUUUACUGACAAAAAGAUAAGGAAAAUCUAAAAUGGAAUGAUUGUGUAUUUUUGUUUGUUCUCUAUGGUAAAUACUAGUGGUAAAUAUUAUGCUCAGUCCAACUUAUUUCUAACUUAUUAGUAAUUCAUAAUGUUAAAAUAAAUUGUUUCUCUUUCAUGCUUUUCACUUUAUACAUAUUUUAAAAAUAUAUAAAAUAUCAUAUGACAACAAAUUUUUCAUAUUCAAAUAUCAUUUUUUUUUUUAUGAAACAUAUGUAAGUAUAGAAAGUAAAAAUUAUAAACGAAAUAGAAAAAAAAAUAAAAAUACUAUAUGUUAUCAAAUUCUAAAUAUGUGUGAAUUUUUUAGUUGAUGUCAUAUAUACCUCAUCAACUAAGUCUUUGGUUGAUGAUGUGUUCAAAGGUAAAACCGGUGGUUUACAUGGGCACACCGCACAUGGUUAUUCUUUACAUAUGUACUUCCAUCUGUGACAAUAUAAAUUAAGAAUAUAAAAAGUAUUUAACCGUGCAUAAAUCAAUAUUUUUAAUAAAAAGCAUGUGUUUCUAUCUUGCAGAACUUUUGGUUCUCUUUGGCCUCUUGUCAGUUUGUGGAUUGACUCCUCUCUAGUGACUGCUCAGGCUAUUUCGGAUCACUUUAUUCAAUUUACUAUUUCAGUAGGGGUUUCUUGUGCACGACGUUCAUUCAUGCAACUCAUAUGACUUGCUUGCGUGUGGGUUGUGUGGACUGAACGAAACCAUUGAUUGUUUAGAGGCUCGACACAUUCAGUAAUCAGAUGUUGGACAAGAUUAGGUCUUUCUCUUAUAGGUGGUUAAAAGCGACGAGUAGUACUUUAGUUUUGAACAGCAAUAAUUGAUGGUCUAGUCCUAUGUUUUGUUUGGACCUUGUAUAAUUUUCCUUAUGAUUUUAUUUUUUGUAUUUUGAUCUCUCUUGUAACUUUAUAAUCUCUCUUGACACACCUUAUAUUAAGUAGAUUACUUUUUAUAUAUACAUAUGUCAUUUUGAUUUGUUAAAAAGAAAUAUUUUUUUUACACAUAGAUUUGAGAUAGUACUACUGUACGGGUACUAUACAAUAGUAUCCGAUAAAGGAGUUAAAGUUGUAACCAAGAAAAAAAGAUAAAGGAGUUAAAGUGGCUUUCGUCCCACCAAAAUUUGUACUCACUCAUUUUGUCUACACUUUCAUCAAUAAUGUUUUCUUUUUAGGCCUCUCAUAUAUCUUUUAUAUCCCCAAAUAUUUUAAUUUUGCUCUUGCUAAAAACUUCGGUUCGUAAAAAUCGAAAUUUUUUCUAGUUCAAAUUCAGGGAAAGUUCGGUUAACAAAGAUCGAAAAAAAAUUUCAAGGCAAAAAAAAUUUGGUUCGUAACAACCAAAAUUUUUAUUAAAGGGUAAAAAUAUAAAAUUCAGAAGGGAAAAAUGAACCAUGACGAACCUAAAGAGAAAACAUCUUCAUCAAUCAUCAUGGGCUUCAGGGAUUGUGUUCUUCAAUUUUCAUAAGAGGUCACAUGGUGGGUUGUUCAACUUCAAUUAUUGCUUGUAGCAGUGCCAUUUUCCUACUAUCACUAUGCUUUUAUGCCAUGCAUGCUGUAUCGCAAAGAAGUACUAUAUGAUGGUGGAUUUACUCCUUUCCUCCCAAAAUAGAUCAUUGAAUACACCACGUACCUUCAGUUAAUGAGCACGCUACCUUCAGUUUUGAACUUCAUUAAUUAACCACAAGUUUUUUAGUUAUUGAUCAAGUAUACAUUUUUUAUUGACACUAGUUAUUCAAGUAUACAUGAUUUAGAUAUGUUUGAAUAUAUAAUAUGAUAUUUAACAAAUUAAAUGAUUGAACUCAAGUGAUUAAUAAGGAUUAUUUAAGGAACAAAUUGUUGAAAAGAACUUUAGUUUGAUUUUUGAGUGAUAUCAUUUUUGUCUGACAUUACUUACGUGUCUCAAAUUUGCAUUAGGGAGUUGCUAAAUUUUACGAAGGAGUGUCAUAAGAAAGACAAGAAUUGUAUGUGUAUACUUGAACAAAUAAAAUUAAAGGUGCGAAGUAGGUAUUUUUGAGUGAUAUUAUUUUUGUCUGACAUUACUUACUCGUCUCAAGAUUUUUAGUAUGUGUAUAGUUUAAAUCAGCGGCACAUAUUCAUUCUUGCUUUUCGUCUCCACAAAGCUUCGUAAAGACCAACAUUUUCCUUUGCAUUAACAUGAUCUCUUUCUUCUAGAAACUCGAGAGUUUUACACACACAAAAAAAAAACACACCAUAAUAUUCAUUAAACACUUGACAUUGUAGUUCAAAUAUGCACUUGAAAAUCAUAGUUAAUUAUGUAAAAUAGAUGGUUAAUGAGUUACAACACUUUCUUAAAUUCAUUAAUCAACCACAUAUUUAAAUUGCAUUAACACUUAAAUUAUUGUUGAAUUUUAAUUUCAAAUUAAAUAUUAUUUCUUUUCAAUUUCUUUUUACGGUUUCUAAAACUCGAUAUCUCUAGCAUUAUUUCAGAAAUUAUAAAAAUGUGAAAACACUAUUUUUAUUGUAAAAAAAAAAAAACAUUAAUUGUUCCUAACAAGUGAUUGAACUUAAGUUAUUUAGGUUAGUGAUGCCGUAAACAAGAUUGGUCUCAUUCACAAUUUUCUUUAUUAAAACAGGCUCGUAAAUUAACCUUUGAAAAAUAAUUCUUAAUUUUAACCAAGGUUUUGCGAAGGGAAAAAAUAAUAUAUCACAUUAAUUUUAACAGAGUCGUUUUUAUUAUAAAGUUUUGAAAAAUAAAUUAACAAUUUCAUUUUGAAACCACACAAGUUUAAAACACUGAGGUUAAUUUAUAAUUCUUAAUUUUUUUUGGAUUUCACCACCAAUUUAAUCUGGUUCGGCAAUUAGUUCUGGCAUCAAAUAAUUUCAGCCUAUUCCGAUUGCAGUUGCUAUCAUUCUUAAUUUUAACAAGCUAAGGUUUUGCGAAGCGAAAAAAUAAUAUCACAUUAAAAGAAACUAUAACGGCAGCUCAACUUAGCAAUUGAACUUUGUCAAAAGAAAAAAAACUUAGCAAUUGAACAUUGAACAAAUUGCAUGCAAAUCAUAUCGUACUCAAAUACAAACUCUCAUUCUUAUGUCUCAUUGAAAACAUGAGAUUCAUUUAUUGUCAACUUAGCAAGUUUUCUUUUAUCACUUGCAUUUUGGAAGUGGUUUGCCACACAAACACUUGUUAUGAAGAUAAGCAUACUCAUCAAACCUGUCCUGCAAUCUCCCAGUUCCACCCUGAGGUAUCGCACCACACAAUCUAUUAUAACUCACAUUAAACUGCUGCAAAUUUUCGACUUUCGUCAAUGCAACCGGAAUCUUCCCAUAAAUCUUAUUAUGAUUAAUAUCUAACCAUAUCAAACUCUGUUUCGGAAAAUCAACUUUUGAAAAAUCAAAUGACAAUAAAUUCCUCGAAACAUCAAGUAUUUGUGUCUUUUUCUUGCUCCCGAAAAGCACAGAAGCAUCACCUUCAAAUUUGUUUCUCGACAAGUCUAUCCUAUCAGGAUCUAAUUGGCCCAAUGAAGCCGGAAUAGGCCCAGAAAGCUGGUUGUGAGAUAAGAUGAGAUCUGGGCCGGGCUUUUUGAAUGACCCAAAUGAUUCUGGAAUUGGGCCCGUGAGCUUGUUUCGGUCCAAGUGCAAGGACUCGAGUUUAGGCAAUUGGGAAAGUGAGCUUGGUAUUGGGCCUGAGAGGUUAUUGGUGGAAAGGUGAAGAAGUUGAAGGUUUUUAAGUUCGGCCAAGAAAGGCGGUAUUGAACCUGAGACAUUGGUAUAUUCGAUAAAAAGAUAUUUGAGAUUUUUUAGUUUAGCGAUUGCGGGCUGAAUUGGGCCUGUGAGAUAAGGUAGUUUAUGGAAUGUGAGAGAUUCAAGGUAAGGGAGGUCACCUACCGAAGGAGGGAUAUGGCCCGAGAAAUUGGUGAAUGCCGGGCUAUCCAAAAUAUCGAGGGAGAUGACACGGUUGGUUUUUUCAUCACACUGAAUGCUGUACCAGCCACAACAACCUGUUUUUGGAUCCCAUGAGGAUAAAAGGUAAGGGUUGUUGAAGUCUUUUUUGAUUUGGAGCAAUACUUUCUUGUCUU
rnacentral:lncRNA from 1 species